GCUUGUGUCGAAAGCGUCUCAUGGAUGUUGAGCUCUGCUUCAGUCCACACAGGGAAGGCAGUGUAAGGAGCGCUGAAGGAGCAUUUGGAGAGAUGGAGAGAUGAAUGUGUGUUCUCCAGCAGGAGAAUGUGGAGGCCGGGAAUGAUGGGAAUGAUGGGAGAUCAGGAGGAGUAAAGAUGUGAAAGACAAACUCUGACCUGAUCCUGUGUCGCCCUGAAGAUUCACUGAUGUCACUUCCUGUAUCUGUACUGAACAGGAAGCUGGAAUCGGCUGGAGGAUGAACUCGGCGUUAUAACCU